UCCCCAAUAGCUCAGUUGGUAGAGCAAGUGGCUGUUAACCACUAUGUCGCGGGUUCAAUUCCAGCUUGGGGAG
rnacentral:tRNA from 2 species